GGAUGAACGCUGGCGGCGUGCCUAAUACAUGCAAGUCGAGCGAACAGACGAGGAGCUUGCUCCUCUGACGUUAGCGGCGGACGGGUGAGUAACACGUGGAUAACCUACCUAUAAGACUGGGAUAACUUCGGGAAACCGGAGCUAAUACCGGAUAAUAUAUUGAACCGCAUGGUUCAAUAGUGAAAGACGGUUUUGCUGUCACUUAUAGAUGGAUCCGCGCCGCAUUAGCUAGUUGGUAAGGUAACGGCUUACCAAGGCAACGAUGCGUAGCCGACCUGAGAGGGUGAUCGGCCACACUGGAACUGAGACACGGUCCAGACUCCUACGGGAGGCAGCAGUAGGGAAUCUUCCGCAAUGGGCGAAAGCCUGACGGAGCAACGCCGCGUGAGUGAUGAAGGUCUUCGGAUCGUAAAACUCUGUUAUUAGGGAAGAACAAAUGUGUAAGUAACUAUGCCCGUCUUGACGGUACCUAAUCAGAAAGCCACGGCUAACUACAUG
rnacentral:rRNA from 1 species